GCCAACCGCCAUAAAUGGGUUUUGCCUGC
rnacentral:piRNA from 1 species